CCCUUAGAUGUUCUGGGCCGCACGCGCGCUACACUGACGGAGUCAACGAGUGGUCCUGCAUCGAAAGGUGUGGGUGCUCUUUGGAAACUUCGUCGUGCUGGGGAUAGAUCUUUGCAACUAUCGAUCUUGAACGAGGAAUUCCUAGUAAGCGUGAUUCAUCAGAUCGCGUUGAUUACGUCCCUGCCCUUUGUACACACCGCCCGUCGCUCCUACCGAUGAAUCGUCCGGUGAAGUUCACAUAGUGGCGGUUCGUGGAGUUGCUCGCGAAGUGAAAUGGACCUCACGAUUUAGAGGAAGGAGAAGUCGUAACA
rnacentral:rRNA from 1 species